rnacentral:rRNA from 1 species
ACGAACGCUGGCGGCGUGCUUAACACAUGCAAGUCGAACGAAGAGCGAUGGAAGCUUGCUUCUAUCAAUCUUCGUGGCGAACGGGUGAGUAACGCGUAAUCAACCUGCCCUUCAGAGGGGGACAACAGUUGGAAACGACUGCUAAUACCGCAUACGAUCUAAUCUCGGCAUCGAGGAUAGAUGAAAGGUGGCCUCUACAUGUAAGCUAUCACUGAAGGAGGGGAUUGCGUCUGAUUAGCUAGUUGGAGGGGUAACGGCCCACCAAGGCGAUGAUCAGUAGCCGGUCUGAGAGGAUGAACGGCCACAUUGGGACUGAGACACGGCCCAGACUCCUACGGGAGGCAGCAGUGGGGAAUCUUCCGCAAUGGACGAAAGUCUGACGGAGCAACGCCGCGUGAGUGAUGACGGCCUUCGGGUUGUAAAGCUCUGUUAAUCGGGACGAAAGGCCUUCUUGCGAACAGUUAGAAGGAUUGACGGUACCGGAAUAGAAAGCCACGGCUAACUACGUG